UAAUAAGCGGAGGAAAAGAAACUAACAAGGAUUCCCUUAGUAACUGCGAGUGAAGAGGGAUGAGCCCAGCACCGAAGCCCUUCGCCUUAACUGGUGUCGAGCAAUGUGGUGUUUAAAGGAAACCGCUUCCGACAGGUUGUCCAUGCCCAAGUCCCCCUGACUGGGGCCACAGCCCAUGGCGGGUGCAAGGCCCAUGCGGCAUUUGUGGCAGCCUGAAGGUUGGUUACCUUUUUGGAGUCGGGUUGCUUGAGAGUGCAGCCCUAAGUAGGUGGUAAACUCCAUCUAAGGCUAAAUACCAAACACGAGACCGAUAGCAAACAAGUACCGUGAGGGAAAGUUGCAAAGAACUUUGGAGAGAGAGUUCAAGAGUACGUGAAACCGUUCGGAGGUAAACGGAUGGGACCUCGAAGGUCGAACGGGUGGAUUCAACCCGUCGGUAGUUGCACCACUGUUGCGGAUAGUUACCUCACUAACGGAUCCGAGGGACCGGUCUGCCUGUGGUUUAAAAGCAGCUUGCUGGCGGGCGCACUUCCACCUUAGUAGGACGCUGCGACCGGUUGGUUUUUAUGUGGCAGCCUUAAGAUUAUGUGGCUAGCAGGUAUCCGUUGUGGGCUUUCCUUGCGAAGGCCCAGUCGGAGUUAUAGCCCACUUAAUACUGGCAUUGCUCACCGACCGUUGAUGAAAAGACCAGAUAUGUCGGCGCGCCCGCAAUGUAAUUAACACACUUGCACGUACUUUCCUCGCAUGUUAGGUGCUGGGAUUUGGUGAUUGACGCCCUAAAAUAGGCGGCUUUCGCUUCCCCACUUAACGGUGGCUUGGAAAAAAAAUGGCUAACGUGGUUUUACGGCGCUUGUGGUCUGCGGCGAGUAGGUCGGUAACCCAUCCGACCCGUCUUGAAACACGGACCAAGGAGUCUAACAUGUGAGCAAGUCACGAGGUUCGCGAAAGCAAAACCCGGUGGCGAAAUGAAAGUGAAGGUGUCAUUUGAUGGCAUAAAGGCAAGACCGAACACGGAAUCAAAUGAAAAACGUGAUUUGUGCAUUGCUGCCCCGUCCCAACUGCUUAAUUGUCGGUAAGGCGGAGGUUGAGCUCACACGUUGGGACCCGAAAGAUGGUGAACUAUGCCGGUACAGGACGAAGCCAGAGGAAACUCUGGUGGAGGUCCGUAGCGAUUCUGACGUGCAAAUCGAUCGUCUGAUAUCGGUAUAGGGGCGAAAGACUAAUCGAACCAUCUAGUAGCUGGUUCCCUCCGAAGUUUCCCUCAGGAUAGCUGGCACUCGGAGAAAAAUAAAACAGUCUCAUCCGGUAAAGCGAAUGAUUAGAGGCCUUGGGGCCGAAACGACCUCAACCUAUUCUCAAACUUUCAAUGGGUGAGAAGUCUGGCUUGCUUGAAUAAAACUUGAAUGUGAAUGAAGCUCAGACAUUGGAUGUGAGUGCCCAGUGGGCCACUUUUGGUAAGCAGAACUGGCGCUGUGGGAUGAACCAAACGCUGGGUUAUGGCGCCCGAUGCAGACGCUCAUGAGACCCCAUGAAAGGUGUUGGUGCUAUGACAGCAGGACGGUGGCCNNNNNNNNNNNNNNNNNNNNNNNNNNNNNNNNNNNNNNNNNNNNUUCCAUGUGAACAGCAGUUGAACAUGGGUCAAUCGGCCCUAAGGAAUAGGGGAAACCCGUUCCGAACAAGGAAAUAAACAAAUAGCAAUAAAAAUACCUUGUACAACCGAAAGGGAAUCUGGUUAAAAUUCCAGAAUUGGGAUGAAGAGAUGGGCCUUUAAACGGGUCUGAAGCGGUAACGCAAACGAACUCAGAGACGUCGGCGGCAGUCCCAGGAAGAGUUGUCUUUUCUUUGUAAGGGACUGACUCCCUGGAAUCGGUUCGACCGGAGAGAGGGAUGUUGUACCCGUAAAGCACCACGGCUCUUGUGGUGUCUGGAGAACUGCCGCUGGCCCUUGAAAAUCUGAGGGAGUAAAAAUCAUUUCUUCACCCAGCCGUACCCAUAUCCGCAGCAGGUCUCCAAGGUGAACAGCCUCUAGUCGAUAGAACA
rnacentral:rRNA from 1 species